UGCAAAGACAACAGUGACCGUGACUGCCACAUCAGCGCCAUGUCUCCAAAUGCCUACGGCAGCUGCGGUAGUGCUGCCCGCCGCCACACCAUCCGCAGCUGGACCCCCAUCUGUGGCACAGCCGGCAGCCGGCCCCCGUGUGCCUGGGCUCACAAUUGGCCUUUCAGCCUCACAGUCUGCAGUUGACCACUCGACUCUGGAGCCUUUAGCCAACCCACCACGCCCUGCUGCCCACUGGCUGUCAUCCCCAUCCCUGGAUGGGGACAGAGACAGCGAUGAAUGCCAACAGCCAGUCCCCCAGCGGGGGCGUGCCCCAGUGGUAGAACGCCGGCACCAACAGGCGGAAUCAUCGUCCAUGCGUAACCUCUGGACUUUGCCUACCUGUUGACUGACCUGUUGGGACGCAGUUAAGAUGCGAGCUUCAGAAGCUGGGGAUGGGGAUCUAUCGGACAGGACAGGGAGGCCACAGUGUACAGCUGACACAACACUUGCUCUGGGGGGAGAGGCCACGGAUGUUGUUCAGAUAGCUUAUCUAGCAUCUGUGGGGGGGACACAGGUGGUUCAGGAGGACCAUGUUCUGUCACAAGGCCAGGUGCAAGCUCUUCCCAUGUAUAAACCUGUCCCAAAUUCAGGACACUCCAACAGGCAUGAUGUGAUUGCCUGGCGGGUGAUCCAGGAUUUGCAGGACAAGGUUGCAAAAUAUGGCCUUGGCUCUGUGCAAGUUAUGCAGGCUCUCAGAGUGAUAAACUCGGACCUGCUUGCUCCAUUUGAUAUUAAACAUAUUGCUCAGGCACUGUUCCAGCCUGUGCAAUAUGAGGUUUUUUGGACAGCUGGAGGCAGGCUGCUGAAAAGGUUGCAGCAAGCAACAGGCCUUGAGAAGACCCUAGGUUUGGCAUGGGGAUGGACGCUCUCCUCAGGGAGCAGGACUUUUCUAAUCCUGAUUUUCAGGCUACCUGGGACUCUGCUGUUCUUGAGCAGUGUCAAAGGGUAGGAUUUAAUGCAUUGUUGAAAACUAUUGAGACGGCCUCCCCCAGGCCACAGUUUACAACGAGAAUUCAAGGAGCAGGUGAGCCUUUUUUGCCAUUUGCCGAGAAGCUUGCAGCUGCCCUGGAGAAACAGGUUGAGGAUGAUACCUUAAGUAAGAUUUUAUGCAAGCAGCUAGCUUGGUUCAACUCAAACAGUGAGUGCCAGAAGAUCAUAGAUGCUCUUCCAGGCGACCUGACGCUAGCAGACAUGGUCAAUGCAUGUGCCAAGACAGGUGCUGUAGACCACAGGGUGUCCGCUCUAGCUGUUGCUUCACAGCCAGGCCAGGUACCCUUAGGGGGCGGACAACAGAAGAAGAGCAAAAAUAAGGGCAAGAGAAAGCAAGGAACGCACACACCAACAGGGCCGGGUGCCACCUUCUUGUGCACUAGAUGCCUAAGGGCAGGUCAUUACUCAAACCAAUGCAAGGCUAAAUUUCAUGCCAGUGGCCAGCCUUUGGCAGGCCUGGGAAAUGCGCCCUGACACAAGUGAUUCCUCAGAGCAUGGUGCCGGCUCAGGUCUGCCCAGCCAGCUCGGAGGCAUCACCCAUGGCUUCGCUGGCAUGGAUAUGUGUACCACUGAUGCAGUCAUCUUGAAAUCCUGUUGUGAACAUAAGGUUCCUUUGGACAUGUUCAGACCUUUGGGACAAGGACUGGGCCCGCUGCUUGUGGGGAAAUUUAGUGUCACCCACCAAGGAAUCUUUGUUCACCCAGGAGUCAUUGACUCUCACUUUUCAGGUCAGAUUUGCGCCACAGUUUUCACACCUUCCCCCCAUCACUAUUCCGGCAGGGACUCGGAUUGCUCAACUUGUGCCUUUUCAGUCAUGUGUCCCCAGGACUGACCAGCAGACUCAUGGGAAUGGUGGCUUCGGAUCCACGGGACUGCCACAAGCCCUCUGGUCUCCGGACCUUUCUGCUCAGUGACCCCAGAUGGUGUGUACCCUGACCCUACCGGGUGCUCACCCACCGAUGAUCAAGCUUCAAGGUUUGAUCGACACAGGGGCGGAUGCAACAAUUGUCUCCCUCUCUACGUGGUCUCCUACGUGGCCUUUGGCUCCUGUGGAGUCAGCCGUCAUAGGGGUAGGGGGUGCGACACGUACCUUGGUGAGCCAAUGGUUUGUGCUGAUCACUAAUGCGAAUGGGCAGACGGCUGCUGUUUGGCCCUAUGUCAUUUCAUGUCUGAUCAAUGUCUGGGGGCGGGAUGUGUUGGACGCCUGGGGAGUGCGAAUUGGAUGGAUUUUAAUUGAGGCCACUGCAUUGCAAAAAAAAAAAAAAAGAAAAAAGAAAAAAAAGGGGAUGCCUGGAGAAACCAAAUAAACCACCUCACAGUGCCACAGAAUUCAGAGAAUCUUGUCAUUCUAAAUAAUUUUCUCUCGUUGCAUUCUUCAGGUGAGACGCACCUGCCUCAAGUGAGGGUCCGGAUAUGGGACCUAGCCACUAAUAAGUGGGAGGGCCUGUACUACCUUAUCACUUGGGACCAUGGGUAUGCAUGUGUUUCCACAGAUACUGGAGUACGAUGGGUACCUGCGAGGUGUGUCUGCCCUGACUUGCGACACCAAAGACAGAAUGUGGCCAACAAGCAACCCUCCAAAUUACGAUCAAGAGGAUGAUCAUCAAUGAGAUGGCCCCUCCCCGAAUGGGGAGUGAACAUUCCAUCCUUUCUUUGUUUCUGAAAAAGAACUGUCAACAGGCUAAGACUGUCAGUUUUAAACAAAUUAAUGAUAAGUUGUUAUUGUUAUUGUAUUAUUAGACUUAGUAUUGAGAUUGUAAUAGAAUAAGUAAAUGAUUUUAGGAUUGAUAGUGCAUUUUCUGUAAGAGGGAAUCACAAGAUCCAAUCUGACCAUUUUAAAUCGGCCUCCGAUUGAGGAACCUCUGGAGCUGUGUUUGUUCUCCUUCCUGCAAACACCGCCUCCUUCUUUAAACAAAAAGGGGGACCUGUGGAUGUGACAGCCUGGUCAGAGAGCAAGAAAAUGAGAUAAGUUUUCUCACAGUGGACUUGCAAGACUUUUUAGGGAGUUGUACAGAAACAAUGAUAACUUGUUAUUACAAACAACCUGCAGGUGGUGUUUUCCUACUCUGUUUUUCCUCAAGGAUUGUUUGUGAGAAAGGUGUUUUUGUCCAAUCAGGUAGAAUGUAUCAAAACAGUCUAUAAAAGAGAAGAGUUUUUUGCAUUAAAGCUGUUG